rnacentral:rRNA from 1 species
AGCUAAUAGAUAUCCCGGUAGUCCUGGCAGUAAACGGUGCGCGUUUGGUGUGGGAGGAUUCGACCCCUUCUGUGCCGGAGCUAAACGCGUUAAACGCGCCGCCUGGGGAGUACGGUCGCAAGAUUAAAACUCAAAGAAAUUGACGGGGGCCCGCACAAGCGGUGGAGUAUGUGGCUUAAUUCGAUGCAACGCGAAGAACCUUACCUAGCCUUGACAUGCAUCUCUAAGUCGGUGAAAGCCGGCGAGUGUAGCAAUACACAAUUUGCACAGGUGCUGCAUGGCUGUCGUCAGCUCGUGUCGUGAGAUGUUGGGUUUAAGUCCCGCAACGAGCGCAACCCCUGUGAACUGUUGCCACCGGCCUUCGGCCGGAGCACUCUGUUCAGACUGCCCUCGUGAAACGGGGAGGAAGGUGGGGAGUGACGUCAAGUCAGCAUGG